rnacentral:ribozyme from 1 species
AUCUUCAAAAAAGCCACAGCAGAAGCGCGCACGGCACGGCACGGCCUGUCAGAUUCCAGCGAGUCUGCAAAUUCUGCU